GGUAGAGUGCACCUAAAUGUGUGUUUCUAUUGGUUUAAUGAUGGGAUGCUAGUGUGGAGAGAUUUGACACAUCUUCGAACUAUUAGGGGUUGAAGUUAGUGAUGAUUAUCAGAUUAUGCAUCGAAUGUCCAUCUAGAAUUUAUCUUAAAUGUGGGUGUUGGUACGAUAUUAACUAUUUUAUGACCUUUCAUGUUCAUCAUCACCUUGUCUAUGACUUUUACCCAUGCUGUAUCUGUAAGGCUGUUUGUCAUUCCUUCGUUUAUGUUCCCA
rnacentral:lncRNA from 1 species